GGCCACAUUAUACUGAUGCACUAGUUCCUGUACAAUCACCGAAGAUAAGCAAUGUUGAGUCUGGUCAGUACCUAAAUGAGUGACCACUUGGGAAUACCAGGUGCUGUAA